rnacentral:rRNA from 1 species
UACGUAGGGGGCAAGCGUUGUCCGGAAUCAUUGGGCGUAAAGAGCGUGUAGGCGGUUCGGUAAGUCGGCUGUGAAAGUCCAGGGCUCAACCCUGGGAUGCCGGUCGAUACUGCCGGACUACGAGUUCGGAAGAGGCGAGUGGAAUUCCCGGUGUAGCGGUGAAAUGCGCAGAUAUCGGGAGGAACACCUAUGGCGAAGGCAGCUCGCUGGGACGUUACUGACGCUGAGACGCGAAAGCGUGGGGGAGCAAACAGG